AGUAACACUAAGUUGUUUGUGAGAAUAUAACGUUAAAAGUGAUUUUGAAAGAAAGAAUUUUGGAGUUUUUGAAAACCAAAAUGUGGGGCAUGGGUUGCUGAACUUCCAAUCCUGGCCUCAUUAUCUCACCUGUGGUGCUGGGCAAGUCAUUACAUUGAAACCUCCGUAAACCUUAGGUCUCAGAACUAUGAAAAACAAGUAAGUAACAGUACCCGUUUGUGGAAUUAUUGAAGAUUUUCCAUGUAAGUGAUUUCUGGCACAUAAGCAGUCAGAUGUUUGUUGUCUAAUCAUAGCUCAGUAGUAGAAGAAAAUGCAGGUCAGGUGUGGAGGUAUUGUUACCUUUAACAUCUUGUGAUAAAUAAGGAAAGACCUAAGCGUUUACUUUUGUAAUGGACACUUGCCUCAGUAAUUUAACUUCGUUGUUCUGUAUUCUUUAUCAUUUGUUAACAGAUGUCUUUUUUCUUAAGGGAAGCCUCCAAAACCAGAGCAAAGUGGGUUACAGUCCAUAAUGAGUAUUUGCCUUCGCAGUCUCCUGGAACCGUUCUCAUCAAGAAGCUGAGAGGAAGAAAGCUUCCUACCUUCCUCCUUCCUGGCUUUCAGCUGUCAACUUUUUUAGGAACUUGUCGACCCAAGGCGUGGUGACUCAGCUGUUGAACAACAGUAGAGCCCAGAUCUCUGAAGACUCUGUUGACACCCCACAGUCCUCACCGUCACAUCGUGCUUACGUCUAACUUAACCUCAACUCAAGAACUAUUGACGUGUCUUUAAAAACCAGUUCUGUAUGUAACCAUUUCCAACCAGAAACUCAAGUAAAUUUUUCUAUUUUACUCAAAAUUUAUGCUUCUAGAUAUAGAAUAGACAGUCCAGUUUCCUAGUCCAUGUAUUGAAUAAAACUCUCAAAGAAUACUUUAUAAACCACCUAUAUGAGAUUCUCCACAGGAACUUGUUAGAACAAGUACAGGUUGCAUCUGCUCUACCAAAUGGAGAAUUUAUAAGUGUAGGUCUGGGAGAGCUGCUCUUGAAACAAAGACUGAAGAUUUUUUGUCUCCUGUGCUUGACAUCUCCCCCUGACACAGGAAUAACUUUCCUUUGAAACCAAGUUUCAAGAUAUAUAUAUCUUCAUGUAUCUUCAGUUCCUUUUAUCUUUGUGAGGCUCGAAUAGACCAAAGUUCUGGACUGUAACACAUGGAGAAAUUGUACUUAGAAGCAUAUGGCUCCAAAUGGCAGAACUGAUGGGUAAAGCAGGGUAGUUCAAGCAGAAGAGGUUGCUUAUGGCCUCUGGAUGUGAGCACUGAGUUCUGAAUUAGUUUUAAAUAGAAUUACUCAAAUUAUAUCGAUGUUAAGAUCAGAUUGUGUAUAGUGGAGUCACCGAGCUCCAUCUGGGCCUAGGUAGAUCAAAGAAAAGAUAAGCUUUUUCACCCUAGGUUUCUGUUAAAACUUUUAAAAAUAGAUUUUAUUGUUUAUCUGAGCAAAUGUAUGUUUGCAGCAUCUUCUGUCUUCCUCCUAUUCCCCAGGUGUUCCUCCAUUCUCUAUUAUGUGGAGAUAAGCUGGCCAAAUUGAAAAGUAGUGCGGUUGGAAGCCUGGUAAACAUUCCUAAGAAUGCCUGAGGAACCUGCCACUUACAGAUCUCAGUCUCAUUCUGCACAGAGGGGCAGGCAGGCUUUUACAGUCUUCUCUGGGCACAGAAGAAUUUACACCUGACCUGCAAGACUCUUGGGGCAGAAACUGCUGGGAUGAAGACCAGGCAAAGUCUUCUAAAAUCUUUUGGAAGAAUCGAUGAAAAACUUUUUUGAAGAAGAAGAAGAUUUGCCCUCCGCUGACAUCUGCUGCCAGUCCUCCUC